rnacentral:rRNA from 1 species
GACGAACGCUGGCGGCGUGCUUAACACAUGCAAGUCGUACGGUAAGGCCCUUUCGGGGGUACACGAGUGGCGAACGGGUGAGUAACACGUGAGUAACCUGCCCACAACUUUGGGAUAACGCUAGGAAACUGGUGCUAAUACUGGAUAUGUGCCCCUGCUGCAUGGUGGGGGUUGGAAAGCUCCGGCGGUUGUGGAUGGACUCGCGGCCUAUCAGCUUGUUGGUGGGGUAGUGGCCUACCAAGGCGGCGACGGGUAGCCGGCCUGAGAGGGUGACCGGCCUCAUUGGGACUGAGAUACGGCCCAGACUCCUACGGGAGGCAGCAGUGGGGAAUAUUGCACAAUGGGCGCAAGCCUGAUGCAGCAACGCCGCGUGCGGGAGGACGGCCUUCGGGUUGUAAACCGCUUUCAGCAGGGACGAAGCUUUUUGUGACGGUACCUGCAGAAGAAGCACCGGCUAACUACGUG